rnacentral:rRNA from 1 species
GCGAUGUCCGAAUGGGGAAACCCAGUGCAAUUCGUUGCACUAUCGUUAACUGAAUACAUAGGUUAACGAGGCGAACCGGGGGAACUGAAACAUCUAAGUACCCCGAGGAAAAGAAAUCAACCGAGAUUCCCCCAGUAGCGGCGAGCGAACGGGGAGCAGCCCAGAGUCUGAAUCAGCUUGUGUGUUAGUGGAACGGUCUGGAAAGUCCGACGGUACAGGGUGAUAGUCCCGUACACCAAAAUGCACAGGNUGUGAACUCGAAGAGUAGGGCGGGACACGUGGUAUCCUGUCUGAAUAUGGGGGGACCAUCCUCCAAGGCUAAAUACUCCUGACUGACCGAUAGUGAACCAGUACCGUGAGGGAAAGGCGAAAAGAACCCCGGCGAGGGGAGUGAAAAAGAACCUGAAACCGUGUACGUACAAGCAGUGGGAGCACCUUCGGGUGUGACUGCGUACCUUUUGUAUAAUGGGUCAGCGACUUAUAUUCUGUAGCAAGGUUAACCGUAUAGGGGAGCCGCAGGGAAACCGAGUCUUAACUGGGCGUUAAGUUGCAGGGUAUAGACCCGAAACCCGGUGAUCUAGCCAUGGGCAGGUUGAAGGUUGGGUAACACUAACUGGAGGACCGAACCGACUAAUGUUGAAAAAUUAGCGGAUGACUUGUGGCUGGGGGUGAAAGGCCAAUCAAACCGGGAGAUAGCUGGUUCUCCCCGAAAGCUAUUUAGGUAGCGCCUCGUGAANUCAUCUUCGGGGGUAGAGCACUGUUUCGGCUAGGGGGUCAUCCCGACUUACCAACCCGAUGCAAACUACGAAUACCGAAGAAUGUUAUCACGGGAGACACACGGCGGGUGCUAACGUCCGUCGUGAAGAGGGAAACAACCCAGACCGCCAGCUAAGGUCCCAAAGUCAUGGUUAAGUGGGAAACGAUGUGGGAAGGCACAGACAGCCAGGAUGUUGGCUUAGAAGCAGCCAUCAUUUAAAGAAAGCGUAAUAGCUCACUGGUCGAGUCGGCCUGCGCGGAAGAUGUAACGGGGCUAAACCAUGCACCGAAGCUGCGGCAGCGACACUAUGUGUUGUUGGGUAGGGGAGCGUUCUGUAAGCCUGCGAAGGUGACCUGUGAGGGUUGCUGGAGGUAUCAGAAGUGCGAAUGCUGACAUAAGUAACGAUAAAGCGGGUGAAAAGCCCGCUCGCCGGAAGACCAAGGGUUCCUGUCCAACGUUAAUCGGGGCAGGGUGAGUCGACCCCUAAGGCGAGGCCGAAAGGCGUAGUCGAUGGGAAACAGGUUAAUAUUCCUGUACUUGGUGUUACUGCGAAGGGGGGACGGAGAAGGCUAUGUUAGCCGGGCGACGGUUGUCCCGGUUUAAGCAUGUAGGCUGGUUNUCCAGGCAAAUCCGGAUAAUCAAGGCUGAGGUGUGAUGACGAGGNACUACGGUGCUGAAGUAACAAAUGCCCUGCUUCCAGGAAAAGCCUCUAAGCAUCAGGUAACAUNAAAUCGUACCCCAAACCGACACAGGUGGUCAGGUAGAGAAUACCAAGGCGCUUGAGAGAACUCGGGUGAAGGAACUAGGCAAAAUGGUGCCGUAACUUCGGGAGAAGGCACGCUGGUGUGUAGGUGAAGUCCCUGCGGAUGGAGCUGAGACCAGUCGAAGAUACCAGCUGGCUGCAACUGUUUAUUAAAAACACAGCACUGUGCAAACACGAAAGUGGACGUAUACGGUGUGACGCCUGCCCGGUGCCGGAAGGUUAAUUGAUGGGGUUAUCCGUAAGGAGAAGCUCUUGAUCGAAGCCCCGGUAAACGGCGGCCGUAACUAUAACGGUCCUAAGGUAGCGAAAUUCCUUGUCGGGUAAGUUCCGACCUGCACGAAUGGCGUAAUGAUGGCCAGGCUGUCUCCACCCGAGACUCAGUGAAAUUGAACUCGCUGUGAAGAUGCAGUGUACCCGCGGCAAGACGGAAAGACCCCGUGAACCUUUACUAUAGCUUGACACUGAACAUUGAGCCUUGAUGUGUAGGAUAGGUGGGAGGCUUUGAAGCGUGGACGCCAGUCUGCGUGGAGCCAACCUUGAAAUACCACCCUUUAAUGUUUGAUGUUCUAACGUUGGCCCCUGACCGGGGUUGCGGACAGUGUCUGGUGGGUAGUUUGACUGGGGCGGUCUCCUCCCAAAGCGUAACGGAGGAGCACGAAGGUUAGCUAAUCCUGGUCGGACAUCAGGAGGUUAGUGCAAUGGCAUAAGCUAGCUUGACUGCGAGCGUGACGGCGCGAGCAGGUGCGAAAGCAGGUCAUAGUCACUGGUGUUCGGGUUGUCAUGCCAAUGGCACUGCCCGGUAGCUAAAUGCGGAAGAGAUAAGUGCUGAAAGCAUCUAAGCACGAAACUUGCCCCGAGAUGAGUUCUCCCUGAGACUUUAAGUCUCCUGAAGGAACGUUGAAGACGACGACGUUGAUAGGCCGGGUGUGUAAGCGCAGCGAUGCGUUGAGCUAACCGGUACUAAUGAACCGUGAGGCUUAACCUUACAACGCCGAAG